GAGCUACUGUGAAAUAGCAAUGGUUUGGCCAGGCAAGCUCUGUACUUUUCUCCUUUCGCUCCUAAUCGUGGUUGCGUUAGAAUCAGUUUCCUGCGAUGAAUCGGCAGAAUCUGGCGAUCCCGUGGACGAUGAGGACCAAGAAAGACGCAAUUGGGGCUGGAAAAUCUUUAUCGGGGCUAUGAAAGGUGCUGUGAAAGGUGCUGUGAAAGCUAUGGGAAUUGAUAUGGAGGACGAAUCAGGAGAAUCCCAGCAGAAAACUAUUACCUAAUUUUUUAAACCACGCAAACAACUGAUAAUGAAGAAAAAGUGUUAAUUCGAUAAAGAAAAAUACAAAUACCAAACAGCA